GCGACCACCAACACUACCACUAUGCCGAUGGCGACGACGACAACAACGAAGACGACACACGCAAAGGCAAAAUAAUUUCCCAGCAGUUUUCGCGUAGCUUUUCUCUCGUACAAACGUGUUGCGGGUGAAAUGGAAAUCGAAAAUUCAGAAUAUUUUAUUUGAAUUAAAAUUUAAAGUGAACAGUUACACAUUUAAUUAAAUUGUAAAAAAAUAAAAUGUUAAAAAUAUUAAAAACCAGUUAGUGAAAGUUGAAACGAAAAUUUAAAAAAAAAAUAUUAAAAAUGUAAUUUUGUGUAAAUAAGUAAUGGCAUACAAGUGUACACAUUUUACUUGUUAAUAUUGCAAGCUACAAGUAUGUGAAAAGUGUUGUUCUGGCGAAUGAAACAUGCUACAGUGAAUAAUGAUAUUUACCGUAGACGUAUAAAAUGAAAUGGUUGCAAAAAAUCUGAAAUAUUUAAGUAAAGUCCGAAAGAAAAAAAUUAUUAAACUGCAAGCGAAAUCACAAAAGCAAAAGUGGCAGCUAACGCGCCAAAAUCAAGCAUUCGGCAAGUGGAAUCUGAGGUGAACUAAAAUAAAGCUAUAGCUCUACGGCACAACAAGUGCAGAUGUGUAAGUAAAUAAAGUAAAAACGAAUGCAGAAAACCGUGCAAUCUAAUCAAAAUUUGUAAUUUGUGUUAAGCAAACAAAAAAUUUGUUUUGACUGCGAGCGGGAGCAGCAAAAUAGCAACAACAAUCCACAACAACAACAGCAAAAGAAAGCAACAAAAAUUAAAUAUAAUAAUAAAUAAAGCAACGAGAUUUUGUGAAAUUGUUGCCUUGCAAAUUAUCGCUGCAAAGUGCUUAAUCGUUAACGGGAAAACACAAUAAGAAUUGUUAAGUGUUUGGAAUUUGUUGACAGCCAAAUUGCAGUUGGCCUGUGCCUUAAUCGGCCGCAUCGCAUAUUUAUUGCAAACUGCAAAUGAAAAUUGUAGAUUUAUUAAAAAUAAUUCCGAGUUAGAAUAUGCUGAAGAAUUUGUAGUUUAUAUGGUUCUGCUAAAUUGUGUAAUGUGUGUGUGAAUAGUUUGUUAAAACUACGAAACAGAUGCAGUGUAAUCAUAAAUAGUGCUACAUAAUUG